rnacentral:tRNA from 1 species
GAGUGUGAUUAUAAAUAUUUUGCAAAAAUAUUUUAGACUAAUAGUGUUGAGUCCACACUUU